AACGAACGCUGGCGGCAGGCUUAACACAUGCAAGUCGAGCGCCUCGCAAGGGGAGCGGCAGACGGGUGAGUAACGCGUGGGAACAUGCCCAAAGGUACGGAACAACUCCGGGAAACUGGAGCUAAUACCGUAUGUGACCGAGAGGUGAAAGAUUUAUCGCCUUUGGAUUGGCCCGCGUUGGAUUAGCUAGUUGGUGGGGUAAAGGCCUACCAAGGCGACGAUCCAUAGCUGGUCUGAGAGGAUGAUCAGCCACACUGGGACUGAGACACGGCCCAGACUCCUACGGGAGGCAGCAGUGGGGAAUAGUGGACAAUGGGCGCAAGCCUGAUCCAGCCAUGCCGCGUGUGUGAUGAAGGCCUUAGGGUUGUAAAGCACUUUCGCCAGGGACGAUAGUGACGGUACCUGGAUAAGAAGCCCCGGCUAACUUCGUGCCAGCCGCCGCUGUAAAAC
rnacentral:rRNA from 1 species